GGAAAUAGCACAAAUGUUAGAGUUGAAUGUUAGGGAAACGAUACUUAAAGUAUGGAGUGGGUGAACAUCACAGAGUGGGAUAGGCAUUGGGGAAGGCAUUAGGGAAGGUUACUUUGGAAUCGAACUAUCAAAUGGUGUGGCUUGGCCGAAAUUUGCAUUCCCGGUUCGAGAUUG